rnacentral:rRNA from 1 species
CAAUAGCGUAUAUUUAAGUUGUUGCAGUUAAAAAGCUCGUAGUUGGAUUUCGGUUAAGAGCGACCGGUCCGCCGUUUGGUGUGCACUGGUUGGUUUUAACUUCCUGUAGAGGACGUGCUCUGGGUUUAACGACCUGGACUCGGAGUCUACGCGGUUACUUUGAAAAAAUUAGAGUGUUCAAAGCGGGCUUACGCUUGAAUAUUUCAGCAUGGAAUAACACUAUAGGACUCCUGUCCUAUUUCGUUGGUCUCGGGACGGGAGUAAUGAUUAAGAGGAACAGUUGGGGGCAUUCGUAUUUCAUUGUCAGAGGUGAAAUUCUUGGAUUUAUGAAAGACGAACUUCUGCGAAAGCAUUUGCCAAGGAUGCUUUCAUUAA